rnacentral:tRNA from 1 species
GCCCGGGUGGCGGAAUUGGUAUACGCAGCGGACUUAAAAUCCGUAGCCGGAAACGGCUUGUGGGUUCGACCCCCACCCUGGGCA